UGCGUAGGCGGUGCGGUAAGUCUUCUGUGAAAUCUCCGGGCUCAACUCGGAGCCUGCAGGAGAAACCGCCGUGCUUGAGUAUGGGAGAGGUGAGUGGAAUUCCUGGUGUAGCGGUGAAAUGCGUAGAUAUCGGGAGGAACACCAGUGGCGAAGGCGAUCUUCUGGUCUGUUUCUGACGCUCAGACGCGACAGCUAGGGUAGUAAACG
rnacentral:rRNA from 1 species